ACCAGUCAAAGUUUACAAAUUGUUUCUUCGAUACCAGUGAACGUUUACAAAGUAUUUCUUCAAUACCAGAGAUAUGUUAGGUAGAAUAAUCUGAUUACCAUAAUGAGCAACGUUUAAGCAAUUGUCAGAUCUACGUAGAAUCGAAUUGGACAUUUUUAGCUGACCGCCAUUCUUUAAGUAGUGUAGCGUUGUGCGUUUCUAUGAUGGCCUAUAGAGUAUACCAACAACAAGGUUUUUAGUUUCGUUUAUCAGUUUUGUUCUACACAAGAACAACUCAUGCAAACUACAUUCUUUGUCAUAUGAUAAAUUUAACUGUGUUGACUAACUUCAUUGUAUUGAGGCUAAACUCGAAUAUUCACAAGAAUUAACGGUUACGGUACACUUGCCCAAGAUAUCACCAUCUUACAGGAAAUGGAAAGUCAUAAUCUAAAAAACACGUCCAAAUUGUGGUGGGGAAGCUUUCGUACUGAUUGGUUGAUCGAGAGGCAGGGAAAAUGAGCCAAGCCUGAAUAUCCGGGCGUGACUUAUCCGACAUUUGCCUGCGGUGCGGGCAGCAUUAUUUCUUCGGAUAUUGUUCACUGGCUGGCAAAAAACGAGAAAUCUCUAAAACGUUAUCAGGGGGAGGAUGUCUCUAUGGGUAUUUGGUUAUCAGCUAUUCCUCCUGAAAUUUAUAAUGCAAGAUCUCCUGUUCUUCCCUGUAAGUUAUUGACAGUUGUUCAACAAGAUCCUUUAUGGUGAUCGUACUCCAACAAUCUUUUUUCAACAUCACGAGGAUUCAAUAGAAACGUUUGACAUGACCGUUAAAAUUUCUUCAUCGGAAACGCUCCCACCGUUUGGUAGAGCAAUAAACCGAUCAGCGUUUUUAAUAUCUUCUAUCAAACUUCCACCUCUUUCCUCGGGUGCGAACACGCUACCAUUGCUUGUCAAGCUGUCGGCAACGUUCGACUCCUUUCGACCAAUUUUAUCGGGAGAUCCCGACUCUCGACCACGAGCGCUCUCCGUCUCGCUGUUGAAUCUAGAGUGACGAGUCUCGCUACUCGUGGAAAUGUAGCUGUUCUCUUGCGGACUUCCUUGUUGUCGUCUCUGCUCUCGUUGUUGUUUUUAUUCGCAUGCUGCAAGUUUCGCAGUCAAAUCACGUAUUUCCUCCUGUGAAAAGUGUAAGGAUAAUGAUUUUAAUAUGGGAAUGUCAUUAAUUGAA